UUUCCGUAGGUGAACCUGCGGAAAGAUCAUUAUCGUUUUUGAAAUUUUUCGAAAAAUUUUUUUGAAAUUUUUGAAAUUUUUUUAAAUACCCGUCGAAUUUUCAAAAUUGAAAUAUAAUUUUUUUUUUUCAAUUCCAAUUUUUUUCAAAAAAAUAUUCUAAUAUUAUUAUAACAAAAAAUAACAUAAAAAACAACUUCUAACAACGGAUGUCUUGGCUCUCGCACGAUGAAGACGCAGC
rnacentral:misc_RNA from 1 species